AGGUUCUUGGAUAGGGUACAUGCAACAAGCAUAUGACAAAUCUGUCAUAAUCAGCGAGAUUUUGGACCCAAGGACAAAAAAUUUGUUGCCAAUGUCAAGAAUUAUUGACUAUGUCCUUUCAAAUUCGUGGGUAUGGCAUUGGCAGUGGUUGCAGAAGAUAGGCAGAUAAUUGAUGUCUUGGAGGAGCUAUUUGCCGAACAGUUGCAUGAAACCGAGGGUGCGGAGACUGGAUGCAGCUAGCUUAGAUUGAGAUAAAAGGAAGUAUUGUGAUCAGGUAUUAAGCAGUGGCAAUUGCAACUAUAAUGAAACCAGCAUUCAGUCUGUCCAUAAGAUAGAAAGGGCACGCAUAGAGAGAGUAUUCCACUUCAUAUUUUCUUUGUGAUACUUAGCACUGACAGCAAGUACUGCUCUUUAAUGUUUAGCACUGUUAUCUACAUAGAACUUUAUCAGUAUGGUUUAUGCCGAUUUCAGCAAUUACUAAGUGAGAUCAAGUAGGUUCGUUUACAACUCUGCCUAUGAGGCCUCUAUAUGUGUGAGCAGACCAGUUUCUGGUACA